rnacentral:rRNA from 1 species
GUGGGGAAUAUUGGGCAAUGGGCGAAAGCCUGACCCAGCAACGCCGCGUGAAGGAAGAAGGUUUUCGGAUUGUAAACUUCUGUCCUCAGGGAAGAAGAAAGUGACGGUACCUGAGGAGGAAGCCCCGGCUAACUACGUGCCAGCAGCCGCGGUAAUACGUAGGGGGCGAGCGUUGUCCGGAAUGACUGGGCGUAAAGGGCGCGUAGACGGCUGUCUAAGUCUGGAGUGAAAGUCCUGCUUUCAAGGUGGGAAUUGCUUUGGAGACUGGAUGGCUUGAGUGCGGAAGAGGUAAGUGGAAUUCCCAGUGUAGCGGUGAAAUGCGUAGAGAUUGGGAGGAACACCAGUGGCGAAGGCGACUUACUGGGCCGUAACUGACGUUGAUGCGCGAAAGCGUGGGGAGCGAACGGGAUUAGAAACCCCGGUAGUCC